rnacentral:rRNA from 1 species
CCUACGGGGGCAGCAGUGAGGAAUAUUUGUCAAUGGACGAGAGUCUGAACCAGCCAAGUAGCGUGAAGGAUGACUGCCCUAUGGGUUGUAAACUUCUUUUAUAAAGGAAUAAAACGAGGCACGUGUGCCUUUUUGCAUGUACUUUAUGAAUAAGGAUCGGCUAACUCCGUGCCAGCAGCCGCGGUAAUACGGAGGAUCCGAGAGUUAUCCGGAUUUAUUGGGUUUAAAGGGAGCGUAGAUGGGUUGUUAAGUCAGUUGUGAAAGUUUGCGGGUCAACCGUAAAAUUGCAAUUGAUAAUGGCAGUCGUGAGUACAGUUGAGGUAGGCGGAAUUCGUGGUGUAGCGGUGAAAUGCUUAGAUAUCACGAAGAACCCCGAUUGCGAAGGCAGCUUACUAAACUGUGACUGACAUUGAUGCUCGAAAGUGUGGGUAUCAAACAGGAUUAGAUACCCCUGUAGUC